rnacentral:rasiRNA from 1 species
UCCCCAAGAAUACUUGACAACCCCA